rnacentral:rRNA from 1 species
GACGGAGGGUGCUAGCGUUGUUCGGAAUGACUGGGCGUAAAGGGCGCGUAGGUGGCGCGAGUAGUCAACGGUGAAAGCCCGGGGCUCAACCCCGGGUCGGCCGUCGAUACUCUCGUGCUUGAGCACUGUAGAGGCAGGUGGAAUUCCGGGUGUAGCGGUGGAAUGCGUAGAGAUCCGGAAGAACACCGGUGGCGAAGGCGGCCUGCUGGGCAGUAGCUGACACUGAGGCGCGACAGCGUGGGGAGCAAACAGG